UAACUGGAGAGUUUGAUCCUGGCUCAGAACGAACGCUGGCGGCGUGGCUAACACAUGCAAGGCGAACGAGAAGGUUUCCUUCGGGAAACUGGUAAAGUGGCGCAAGGGUGAGUAACACGUGAAUAAUCUGCCUACGAAUUCGGGAUAACUCGGCGAAAGUUGUGCUAAUACCGAAUAAG
rnacentral:rRNA from 1 species